rnacentral:lncRNA from 1 species
UUCGUAUAAUAUAUCAGAUUGAAGCCCCAAACAUGUAGAAUCGCAAUAUAUACUACUUUAAAGCUCUAAAAACCAGGAAAUCUCACCGGAAAAAAUUCCAAGAAAACCGGCCAAAGAUGAACCACGUGAUCCCGGCGUCCAAAUCCUUCAAACGAAGUACUCCGAGCCUCCUUGGGACCUCACUAAGCUCACUAUGAGCUUGGAUUGUCCUAAAAAUCAACCAACAAAAAGUUCAUGAAUAGUGCCAAACUCGGACCUCGAGUUUUCAACGCGAAAACAAAGGAUUCCUUACCUGAAAAUGGUGUCUACGUGAUCGUGGAGGCUCCAGGAGUUCGAUGGUGGUCUUAACUCCGUCGUUGGUAUAGAUUUAGGGUGGUUUUGUGGUGGUCCGUGUGAGUUCGAAGGAGAGGGAGAGAGAACUGAGAGUUUCGUGAGGGAGGAGAGAGAGGGAGACAAUGUUACGGGUUAUGGGGAGGGUUUUGAGGUGUGGGGAUCCCACGUGUCCAACCCAAUCCCAAUUUCAUAAAUUCCAACAUAAAAAUCCAAACUUAAGCCUAGUUUAAGUUCCUAAAACCAAAUAACUUAGGAACUUUAAGUAAAACCAAUUGUUAAAUUUUCGCCCCUUAGUCCCGUUUAAGGGCAUUUUCGUCUUUUCACGUCCUCGGAAUUAAAAUUCCGGGACGGGCUGUGACAUUUACUCCUAACUUUUUCAUAUUUGCAUUAAGGCCCCUACUAUUUGAAAAGUUAAAAUAUUUUAUUUUAAUUUUAUUGGUUGUUUAAACUCAUAAUAUUAUUAUGCCCAUAUGCACUAAAUCUAAUUGUUUAUGUUGCAUUCCCAUUGAUUAUUUAAUGUGAUUAAGUAGUUAGAAAAAUGGUUGACUAUGGACUUAUGCCUUAAACGAUAAUUGAGCUAUGAGAAAGGGCGCUAAACUCAUAUUGUUUGAACCUUGAGAAUGUGUUUUAAUUACCGUUUCAAUUGGAUCUUGUCAUGAUAGACAUUAAUCUUUCUCUCCCUCUUAGUAUAUGUAAUUUGUAGGAAUUUGUACAAAUUGGUUUGUAAUUCUUAUUACUUCUUAAUCUCUUUCAAUUAGUUGAUUCCAGUAGUACUAGACUAGAGUUUCUUUAACUAUUGGUAAGGAGAAAUAAUUAAAAGAGGGUUUUGACAUGAGACGAAAGAUUAAUUGGGUCCAACGCCCUAAUUAGCAAUGAAUGAUUGUCUUUCAUUUCUAAUGGCUCAAUGAAAAAUGUUUUAAUUGGAUUGAAAGCACGUAAUUAAAACGACACAACCUUCCCUAGAUCAUAUUCAACAAUGUUGGCUCAUUGUUGAAUUAUCCCAAUAAGUCCAUGGUCAUCCAAAGAGCCUAAGAUAACUAUAAAGUCCAAUUUCAAAGGAAUGCAAAAACCGUAGUAGUAGUAGUUACUUCCAAUAUUUGAAAAAUUCGUUUUUGAUAUUGAUUUGUUUUUCUCAAAACAAAUAGUGGGAGUAUCAUAUGCUACUAAACUAUAAUGAACACAAUUAGUAGUUAUAUAUAUCUCCAAUAUUUUUGAAAAAUGUUUUGAUAUUGAUUUGUUUUUGAAAACAAAUAGUGGGGAUAUCAUAUGCUACUAAUUUCAUUAACUUUGGACUAGUAGUUAUAAUAGGACACAAUUUAUUUGAAUGUGAUUAAAUAAAUAAAAAUGAUGAGACCUUAAAAUCCCUCAACCAACAAACAAUUUUAAGUUGAAAGUGGAGAGGUGCUAUUGAACACUUCUUCGUGGCCUUCCACCAUGGUAGGCUCCAAUCGUUUAUGACUUGUACACCGCUUUCACCCUAUCAUGUUUGCUGAAGCUUUCAAGGCACUUAAUGUAGCUAAACACUUGCUCGAUCGCUUGAUUUCCCCUCUGAUAAGCUUCUCCGGUGAUAUCGUGCAACCUUUGGGGAGCAUACACUUACCUUU